CUCCAGAUGUCCAACGUCUUAUAUUGUUCAAGCUCCAGAUGUUCAAUUUUGAACGUGUGGGUGGGUGUUGAAAUCCCACAUCGAAUCGAUAUAAAUAAUUUGUUCAAGAUUCAUUUUUUUAUCACAGAAAAAGGACACGGGAGAAAAGAAAAGUUCACGAAAUGAUGCUUUUCUUCUCACUGACUUUUCUUUUAGUUUGUAGUAUCUUUUUGUCCGUUAGAGAUAGGAAGAGAUAGAAAAGAAAGAGAGAAUCUUGAAAUCACAAAUGUCUUCUUUAUUGAUUUUGUACGUGUAACGUAUAAUUCCAUUUCCACAUCAUCAUAGAGAGAUAGGCAUGUAAAGAAAAGGGGAAAAGUGUUUGAUUCAAUGUUUUUUUUUUGGUUUUUUUUUGUUCUCUAUUUAGAAUGAUAACGCUAUAUAAAUAUAUGGGUAUAAUUUCA